AUGAACUGCACACCUCAACGCAGCACUAAUGCAAAGAUUCUACAUCUUGGUCGGCUGCUCGCGGCGGGGCUUGUGUCUGGUGCUUGCGACAGUGGCAGAGCAGUGCCCGCGAGCGCGGCGCAAGCAGUGGCCCCUGCUAUGUGGGCUGAUGCAAGCGCGGCGCAAGCACUUCAAGUCUGACAAUGUCCACUCUACAAGGUACAUAGGCACUCGUGCAAAGAUCUAACAUCUUCAUCGACUAGUACUAAGGUAUGUGUUUUCUUCUGCCCGUGUGAUGUGGUGAUUAUUUGUUCUGCAUAUGUUUGUAUAUGUUAGUCAGUAUUUGGGAGAUAUGAGAUGGUUUGCCGGAUAAGAAAUAGAACAAGAACAAGCAGGAGCUUUAGUUGGGCCAUGUCAUUGUGAACUUGGAGCACAAAAAUGUAUAGGAAGUGGUCGUCGUAAAACUGGGUGCUUAAGAUCUACUGAACUAUAACAUUUUUUAGUCUUAAGUAAAGCAAUUACUUUCUGGGUCAUAUUUAAUUUGUCUAUGUUAAUAAUUUCUUGCGUGAAUAGAUGGGCCAAGCCGAGCAGGCCAUCAACCAACUACUCGUGCUUUGCUUUAUUUUAUUUUAUUUUAUUAUUUGUGUUCUUAAUCUUGGUUUUCACUGGUGUGUGCUCCGUCCUCUCAGGUUAGAUUUGAAUUUGUUGUCAUAGAAAAAAUAUUUCUAUCGCCUUUAAUAAUAUAGGUAAUCCAGUUAUGUAUGCAAAAUCCUCAGUGAGGAUUAUUUUUUUCUGAAUCACUUAUCUCUGAGCAGCAUCUGCAUCCUUCUGCCUUAGCCUGAUCAAUUUUUCCCACUAUACAACUUUGUUUUUUGUUUGCCAACAUAUUCGAACGAAGGUGUCUCCAUGUCAAGCAUGCAUCCAUUGAAAUUUGGUGUUAACCAAUUUUUGGAGGAUUGCAUCAAUGUUGCUCCAUAGGAUGUUUAUCUUUUCGGUCUUUUUGCUAAUGACAAUGUUUGGUGUGCCAGUGCCCAGUUGUGUAUAUUCUUGGACCUUUUACAUUUGAUAUCAACAAUUCAAAAGUUAACAUGGAUCUAGCCAUCUAGGUGAACUUCCAUUUAAUGUUAUCAAUUUUCUUGCAGCGAACUUGAAUGUUUUUGUUACUUUUGCUUGUACUUGAUAUCUUCCAGAGGCUAAUGUGUUGUGGAGUUUAGCUCUCAAUAUGGUGCCCAUAUUUUUACGGUUAAGGCAAGAGCUCUGCCAAUUCAUUGAAGUUGAGGGAAACUGUAUCAUUGUUGUCAGUGCACAUUCAGAGACGUAUGAGUGGUUCCCAGCUUUGUUGAUGUCUUCCUUCAAGCUUAAUAAAAUUGUGUUGCGCACUUUUGGUUUGUGAGUUUUUUUGGCAUUAUGGUGUUGCUGAGUUUAAUUGGGUGGCUAUUUUUAGUAGCUUCUAAUUUCAAAAUCCAUGUAGCCCAACCGUGCAGGAGCCACACAAAGCUGCAUGGUGCUUUUGCUUUCUGAGUUAGUCGAACUAGUAAAUGCAGUACUGGUGAAGAUUGGUAGGUCCAACCGGUAGCUAACACUUAUUGGCUCAUAAGCUCCGUUAGCUCAGAAUCUAACCGAAGACGGCUCAUUCCAUCCAUGGGCUUCUGAUCCAUUUAAACGGUAACUGGCGGAGUUACCUGGAUGCUAUGUGAUGUGUGGGCCACAAUCUAUUAAAAAAUACUGUAAUAGCACAGUACGACUUUACCAGGACCUACAUGUUGCACGGAUCACGAUAUAACCUAGUGGUGCAGAUUCCGGGCUCACUGCAGCUCGAGCUCACAUAAGCACUUUCGUGUAGAUACUUCCAAUUUUGAAUCUCUGACUUACUAAAGAAAUAUAAUUUAUUACCAACAUAAUACUCCCUCUGUUUUUAUAUACUCCGCAUAUUAGCUUUGGUCAAAGUCAAACUAUGUAAACUAUGAUAAAGUUUCUAGACAAAUAUGUUAACAUAUACAAUAAAAAAAUCAAUACAAUUAGAUUCAUUAUUGAAUAUACUUUCACAUCAUAUAGAUUUGUUAUUGUAAAUGUUUAUAUUUUUUUCUAUAAACUUGGUCAAACUCUAAAAUGACAUAAUAUGCUUAAGAAAUGACAUAUUUUUGCUCCUAAAUGACUUCACAUGCUUAGCUAGCUCCAAAAUGACAUAAUAACCUUACUUAGCUCUAGAAUGACCUUAGCAUGUUUUACACCAAAAUGACUUAGUAUGCUUAGCUAGCUCAAAAAUGACAUAAUAACCAUACUUAGCUCCAAAAUGACCUAUUUUACAGAUAUAAGUUGCAUCAUAAUAAUUUUCACAUUUUAGUUGCAUCAUAAUAAUCUUCUUCUUCUAGACUUCUUCUUCUAACUUUCUUCUUUCCCAUUUUACAGAUUUGCUUAAGAUCACAUAAGCUUGGGUUGAUGGAGUGCUUGUAUUUAGUUUUUGUUUUGACCUUGUGAAACUUGCUACCUAUGGAUGAAACUGUGUAAUAUUGAUGAAACUACGUAUAUGUACGGAUGAAAC
rnacentral:rRNA from 1 species